GGAGAAUUUUAGGGAUAAAACUUGAGAGAAUGAACGUUUUGGGGUGAACUGAGGUGAUCCGUAGGGGAAAGGAAGGGAGAAAUUUAGGGGUAAAACUUGAGGGGGGAGAAUGGACAUAUUGAGGUGAACUGAGGUAAUCAGUGGUGGAAAGGAAGGGAGAAUUUUAGGAGUAAAACCUGAGGGCAGAGAAUGGACGUUUUUAGGUAAACUCUGUGAUCAGUAGUGGAAUGGAAGGGAGAAUUUUAGGGGUAAAACCUGAGGGGAGAGAAUGGACAUUUUGAGGUAAACUGAGAUAAUCAGUAAUAGAAAGGUAGGGAAAGUUCUGGGGGUAAAACUUGAGGUCAUCUGUAAGACAACAGGAAUAUUCUGAAGGAAAAAUCUGUGGUAAUCCUUAGGGGCAGAAUGAACAUUUUGGGAAUAAGGUAAAUGUAGUCAUUGGGGUUUUAUGGUGGUUAAAAUCUAGGUAAUCUAUAGGAGACAAAAAUUAUGUUUUGGGGGGCAAAAUCUGUAAGGUAAUCUGUAGGGGAGAGAAUGAACAUUUUGAGGUAAAAAUGAAGUAAUCAGUAGUGGACAGGUAGGGAAAUUGUCGGGGAGUUAAAAUUCAAAUAAUCUGCAUGGGGGAGGCGCCUGUCAGGAGUCUGUCCCUGAACAGGUGCUCCAAAGGUGCUGUGUCUGUGAGUGGUGGUGUGGAAAUAACCUGUCCAAACUGCACCCACACCCAGGUACAGCCCAGACCCUGAGCAGAACCAAGCCCCUGUGAAUAAAGAGGGAUUGCUUCCAGGAGAAUGGAAUCACAGAGCUUGCAGUCCCCGUGGAGGAGGGUGGGCGCCUGGGUGGGGGGCUGGUUCUCCUCCAGAAGAGAGCGAUUGCACCGAAGCGCUUUCCCCUCUGUUAGGAAACCCGCCGUAAGAUCCCCUCGUUCUGGGCAGCACAAUGCUCCUGGGAUGCCUUUCCCAAAUAUUUUAUCCUCUUACACUUCCCGCAUCAAAUUUUGACUGUCCUGGAAUGAGGAGUCGGGUUUCAUGUCUCCCUCGUUAAAGGGGAGCAAAUCAGAGACCACAGGGACCAACAAAUAAAAUCAGCUUUAGAUUCAAAACUUUCAAAUCAGGACAAGCAAUCAGCCAGAGUGGCAAAACUUCUAAUUCUCGACAGAUUUGGCAGAGUAAAAAUAAAAUGUGCUUACAUUCUUAAUACUGCAUGUUAUCCCCGAGCUUUGUAAUGUGCAUCCAGAAAAAGAAGAAAGGGAGGGUGAUGUAGAGUGGCAUUCAAUAAGGACUUGGUCUUAAUGUUUUCCAAGAGUCAUUAACUCCAACGGGUCGGAGUCCAAGCCAGAUUUUUUUUUCUGGGGCUAAAAACGUUGUGGAGUGAGAGGAACUGUCAGGGAUCUGUUCUUGCACGCUGUUGCUGAAGAAAUUACGAGUCGUAUCAGAGGCAGUCACUAGAUUUUUUUUUCAGUGUUAGGGAAGAGCCAGAAAGGAAAGGCUGAAGGGGAGAGGCAGCAGCAGGGUUUUAUCUCCAAGGGGUGAAUCAGCAAGACGUUUGGUCCUGCUCCCAAGGGAUGCCUUUAUGCCUGCUCCUGUGUUGGCAGACCCGAGGCUGCUGUUUGUGUCUCUAACAGCAGAUAGAUCAGGUGAGAUCAAGGAGACCAUAUUUCCAUGUUUCCUUGGUUAGCUUACACUGUUAAAAGUGAGUUGUUGUUAGGAGGAAACAGAGCAUGUAAUAACUUGAGUUGGGUUUUAUUUGGCUUUGAGUCAUAAAUCUUAAAGGAAAGGAAAGAGCCAUCAUGUUCAUCCCCAAGUUUGUCAUACAAUCAGCAAGGGGCAAGGCAGUAGUGUGGGCAAGAAAAUGAAACAUGUGAAGGUACAAGUGCCAGCGGGGGGAAGUCACUGUUGCUUAUUGUCAGUUUUGGUGUGACACAGAAAGUUCAGCUAAUCCUCUUAGUUACAGAGACACACGGGUGGGGGGAGAUUGUUAUCUCAAGCAAUUUGCUGGCUCUACUCCUUUUUUUCCUUCGAGUUUCUUUUCGCCUAAUUGAGCAGCAUUUCUUCCUGGGACUGGUUUGCAAUAAUCCUGGGGCCUCAUCUGGGAAAACACUGAAAAAUAUAGAAGGGAGAAUCAGCCCAAGCGAGGCAGCUUCUAUCACCAUGAGUUUCUGUCUUCAGAAAGGUAUCAGGUUUGGCUCCAAGUGCCGAGGAUUAAAAAUAAGAUAAAGAUUCAAAGCGAUAUAGAACAGUCCGUUGAUCAGGGCAAGUAAUCUCUCAGAAAUGGUAUCUCAUCCAUGGGCUAGAGGGACAGGUAAUUAACAGCCGUUCAGAAAACCAGGACCUUGGCGGUCUGAGGGUGGAGCAGGGGGUGAGAAUUCCACUGGAGUGCAUCAGAAAUGUGUUGAUUCCAUUUUCAUUGCCAAAGGGAUGUAUCUGUGGUAAAUCUAAUCAAGAGUCAAAAGGUGAACAAGAACAAUAAUAACUGGGGAGGUUUGUUUUUAUUUAUCCAGGAGAUAAGGAUUCAACUACAGGAAUGGAAUGAGAAAAAGGUGCCUCUUUCUGAGCAGACAAUUAUUCCACCCACACUUACUCAUGAUCAAGGUGUUAAUAUUCUAUUGCUAAGGCUAUUUAACAGAUUCUCAGCCUCGAGGCUGGUAAUGUUUGUGCAGUUACUCUGCCAGUUGCCACAGGUGUGUCUUUUUACAGAAGAUCUGAAUAAUUAACAUGGGAUAGUCCUGAAGACGGCAGUAGCCAGGAGCCAUUCUUCAGGAGACUCCCAGCGUUCUUCCUGGUGCUGAGCAGGGUUGGUUUUACCAGUAGGAGGACACAUUUGAAAACCCUGUUUCCAUAUGCAGGCAGAGCCUUAGUCCCUGAAGGCACAGGCUGUUUCCAGGGGAGUAAAGGCUCUUGUUCCCAAGCCCUAGUGAUUCACCCUGGAGAAGUUUAGGAUAUCACCGUCCUGCAUUACUGAAGUGCUGGAGGCAGCUAUCCCAAAGAAGAGGUAUCCCAAAGAAGAGGUGGCCCAAUGAAUGCUGUGGGCAGUGCAAACUGUUUCAGCCCUGAGCCUGAUGCCCUCAUGUAAAUCUGAUUUCAGCUGAUACCAGUUUGCGGUGAUGUCCUGGACUGAGAACUGCAGACAUGAGUGAUUUAAUUCAAGAUCAUAUCAAUGUAUUUUGCUGUGGUGGCUAAAGAAUUUAUUACCUCUAGCUGUGGAGAUGGGUUACCUUUUCAGUUAGGGCAGCUAAACCCAGCAGGGACUGUCAGAGCCAUCAGAUGAGAGAGAAAGGGCCAGAGUGGACAUCAAUCGCAAAGCAGUUGUAAAAUAAGUAGUUAUAGUGCUUUUAAGAGAAAAGAUGUUCUGCUGAUGUCCCGCUAGCACAGAACAAGGAAGUGAGGAGUUUGGUAUGUACGUCACAUCUAGACAUUCUUUUUGACUUCGCUUAAGUUCUCCAGCCUCUCUCUAGUGUUGGCUAAUCCGGGGCUUUGGAACACCUCUGGGCUCACAGGUCCAGAAGCCGUGCCUGGAUCUGGGCUGUGACACAAACAUGGUGCCUGUUGCUGGUUCCCGAACAAAGGAAACGCCAAGGCUGGAUCAGACAGAACUCACAGUGUGUUCCACCAGCUUUUUGACUCAGGCUGUGUGUGGGAGCAGGGGCAGGAAGAAAGGAACGUGUACUUGUGCUACGUGUGACCAGCACAAAGCCACCAGACCACGAGAAACACAGGGAACGCUCUGCAAGGACUUCCCUGGGAGUCUGCAGCCCUUCACAAAGCAUAAGGAACAGCAUGGACAGGGCAGGAACUGCUGGAUUGGUGGACCUGCCUCUUCCCUCUGCAGGUCUGCACAGCCAGUUAGCGACAUGCAGGACUAUACCAUGCUCUCUAACCCUCUCAGUGAGCAUUUCAGUCUGUAAUGCUGAAAAUGUACGGAAGUCGUAUGUUUUUUAGCAACAGAUAACGCUUCCUGAAUCCACCUCUGUAGCAUUAGGCUGCAGCUCUCACAGUGAGAUGGCAUCCACAGCAGCAGAGGCCAUGAAGAAAAUUAGAAAUUUAUAAAACGCAUACAUAGUAAGUUUUAAAAAUAUGUUUAAUAAAUAUUCUUGUAGUUACAUUUCAGGUAGAUGAGCGUUAAGAUUUCCGUUAAUCUGAAAAUGAAUGUCUAAAACCACGGGAAGAAAAA